rnacentral:lncRNA from 1 species
CUAGUGCUGACCACCCGUCCUGCUCCUUUGGCUGAUGUCACCCAUGGGAGUUUGUCUCCAUCAGUGCUUUCUCUGGAGCCCGACAAUGAGCAGCCAGGCUUUGACCGCCCCCAUCUGACUGCCUCGUGAAACUGUGCAGCAUCUGGCACCCCGGGGUUGGAGCUGGGGAAGCGAGAUGUGACAAAGAACAGGGAAGGCCCUUCUUGCCCGGUCUGUUGGAGGCCAGCACUGGGGACCCCCAGAUGUGUAAACGUACGAACGCUGGCUCAUUUUCUUGUGAUGAGCAUUGGUGGGUCCUCCUGGGGGUCUCUCGCUGUGACUUUACUUGGCACUGGGAGAGAAAAUCUCUAGCUGACAGCUUGUGACCUGCUGCUCUCAACCUCUGCAUUCUGUGGGCCACCUCCAACCUCUUUCUCCUGGGGUUGCCUCGGCCUCGACAGGAAGCCCGCUUGGCUGGAGACUUUUCAAGACAAAGCCAAAUCUGCUGCCUAGAGGGUUGACUUGGUCCACAGAAAAUGGUUGCAUGUCUGCCAUCUGCCAGGUGCUGAGGACAGCAGGGUGAAGAAAAGACCUCCCUGCCAUAGGACAACUUAUGUGACAAGUGUUAUCGCUAAGAUAUGGCCAGAAGACUCAGAAACCUAUGGGGUGGAUGCUCUUCCGGGGCUGAGCUGAGAUGCGGGCCAGGGGUGGCUUCAGGAGGCAGUGACUGUCAGGGUGCACAGCUUGCUGCCACGUGGAGCAAGAGGGCGAAGGGCAUUGGGGCACAAACAGAAGCAU